CUACGGGAGGCUCCAGUGGGGAAUAUUGCACAAUGGGCGCAAGCCUGAUGCAGCCAUGCCGCGUGUAUGAAGAAGGCCUUCGGGUUGUAAAGUACUUUCAGCGGGGAGGAAGGGAGUAAAGUUAAUACCUUUGCUCAUUGACGUUACCCGCAGAAGAAGCACCGGCUAACUCCGUGCCAGCAGCCGCGGUAAUACGGAGGGUGCAAGCGGUAAUCGGAAUUACUGGGCGUAAAGCGCACGCAGGCGGUUUGUUAAGUCAGAUGUGAAAUCCCCGGGCUCAACCUGAGAACUGCAUCUGAUACUGGCAAGCUUGAGUCUCGUAGAGGGGGGUAGAAUUCCAGGUGUAGCGGUGAAAUGCGUAGAGAUCUGGAGGAAUACCGGUGGCGAAGGCGGCCCCCUGGACGAAGACUGACGCUCAGGUGCGAAAGCGUGGGGAGCAAACAGGAUUAGAUACCCUAGUAGUC
rnacentral:rRNA from 1 species